rnacentral:rRNA from 1 species
GAAGCCACGGCAAACUACGUGCCAGCAGCCGCGGUAAUACGUAGGUGGCAAGCGUUGUCCGGAAUAACUGGGCGUAAAGCGCAUGUAGACGGCAUGAUAAGCCAAAUGUGAAAUGUAGGGGCUCAACCCCUACACGGCGAUUGGAACUGUCAAGCUUGAGUGCAGGAGAGGCAAAUGGAAUUCCCAGUGUAGCAGUGAAAUGCGUAGAGAUUGGGAGGAACACCAGUGGCGAAGGCGAUUUGCUGGACUGCAACUGACGUUGAGAUGCGAAAGCCAGGGGAGCAAACGGGAUUAGAUACCCCGGUAGUCCUGGCCGUAAACGAUGGAUACUAGGUGUAGAGGGUAUCGACCCCUUCUGUGCCGCAGUGAACGCAAUAAGUAUCCCGCCUGGGGAGUACGGUCGCAAGACUGAAACUCAAAGGAAUUGACGGGGGCCCGCACAAGCAGUGGAGCAUGUGGUUUAAUUCGACGCAACCCGAAGAACCUUACCAGGUCUUGACAUUUGUAGAAUUGGGCAGAGAUGCUUAAGUGCCUUUCGGGGAACUACAAAACAGGUGGUGCAUGGUUGUCGUCAGCUCGUGUCGUGAGAUGUUGGGUUAAGUCCCGCAACGAGCGCAACCCUUGAUAACAGUUGCCAGCAAGUAAGGUUGGGCACUCUGUUGUGACUGCCGUAGAUAAUACGGAGGAAGGUGGGGAUGACGUCAAAUCAUCAUGCCCUAUAUGACCUGGGCUACACACGUGCUACAAUGGGGUGAACAACGGGAAGCAAGCCGGCGACGGUAAGCGGAACCCUAAAAACACCUCUCAGUUCAGAUUGCAGGCUGCAACCCGCCUGCAUGAAGUCGGAAUUGCUAGUAAUCGCGGAUCAGCAAGCCGCGGUGAAUACGUUCCCGGGCCUUGUACACACCGCCCGU